rnacentral:lncRNA from 1 species
CAGGUAAGGUGAGCGUGGGAUUGCCUGCAGAACUCAAGGCCAACACAAAUUCAUCUCCGCGCUGACUUUUUGUCUCAGCCGCCGCAGCAGCUCUUGUUUCUUUUUCCCUUCCAGCAGCUCAUUUCGGGGUUCUUUUUUUCCCGUAGCUCCUUUUUAAGCCUUUGUCUACGUCUUAAUUGUCCACCACCCGCCGCUUUAAUUCCGUCAUUGCAGCCAAUUAUAUUUCCCGAGUGCUGUAUCUUGUUGACAGGCCGGGAGAACGUGAAGCUGCUGCGGAGCCGAGCGCUGGUCGGCCGUCCUUCGCUCCUCCAUCUCCUCCACCGCUCCUCCACUCCUCCACCGCUCCCUGGCUCCUCCACUCCUCCACCUCUCCCUCGCUCCCUCGCUCCUCCAUCCCCUCCACCGCUCCCUCGCUCCUCCACUCCUCCACCUCUCCCUCGCUCCUCCACUCCUCCACCUCUCCCUCGCUCCUCCACUCCUCCACCGCUCCCUCGCUCCUCCAUCCCGUCCACCGCUCCCUCGCUCCUCCACUCCUCCACUGCUCCCUCGCUCCUCCACUCCUCCACCUCUCCCUCGCUCCCUCGCUCCUCCACUCCUCCACCUCUCCCUCGCUCCCUCGCUCCUCCAUCCCCUCCACCACUCCCUCGCUCCUCCACUCCUCCACCGCUCCCUCGCUCCUCCACUCCUCCACCUCUCCCUCGCUCCUCCACUCCUCCACCUCUCCCUCGCUCCCUCGCUCCUCCAUCCCCUCCACCGCUCCCUCGCUCCUCCACUCCUCCACCGCUCCCUCGCUCCUCCACUCCUCCACCUCUCCCUCGCUCCCUCGCUCCUCCAUCCCCUCCACCGCUCCCUCGCUCCUCCACUCCUCCACCUCUCCCUCGCUCCUCCACUCCUCCACCUCUCCCUCGCUCCCUCGCUCCUCCAUCCCCUCCACCGCUCCCUCGCUCCUCCACUCCUCCACCUCUCCCUCGCUCCCUCGCUCCUCCAUCCCCUCCACCGCUCCCUCGCUCCUCCACUCCUCCACCGCUCCCUCGCUCCUCCACUCCUCCACCUCUCCCUCGCUCCCUCGCUCCUCCAUCCCCUCCACCGCUCCCUCGCUCCUCCACUCCUCCACCUCUCCCUCGCUCCUCCACUCCUCCACCUCUCCCUCGCUCCCUCGCUCCUCCAUCCCCUCCACCGCUCCCUCGCUCCUCCACUCCUCCACCUCUCCCUCGCUCCCUCGCUCCUCCAUCCCCUCCACCGCUCCCUCGCUCCUCCACUCCUCCACCGCUCCCUCGCUCCUCCACUCCUCCACCUCUCCCUCGCUCCUCCACUCCUCCACCUCUCCCUCGCUCCUCCGUCCCCUCCACCGCUCCCUCGGUCCUCCACUCCUCCACCGCUCCCUCGCUCCUCCGUCCCCUCCACCGCUCUGUUGACAGAGGCCCGCUUUAGAUGGAGUGUUCUUUUUGCGUCACGUACCUUUCUCAUCAGCAAAAAUGAAUUUUUUUUCCCGCAUUCCCUACAAGGCCCUCUC